CGCGGCCUACCAUGCCAGUCGAGCGGUAGAGAGGUGCUUGCACCUCUUGAGAGCGGCGGACGGGUGAGUAAAGCCUAGGAAUCUGCCUGGUAGUGGGGGAUAACGCUCGGAAACGGACGCUAAUACCGCAUACGUCCUACGGGAGAAAGCAGGGGACCUUCGGGCCUUGCGCUAUCAGAUGAGCCUAGGUCGGAUUAGCUAGUUGGUGAGGUAAUGGCUCACCAAGGCGACGAUCCGUAACUGGUCUGAGAGGAUGAUCAGUCACACUGGAACUGAGACACGGUCCAGACUCCUACGGGAGGCAGCAGUGGGGAAUAUUGGACAAUGGGCGAAAGCCUGAUCCAGCCAUGCCGCGUGUGUGAAGAAGGUCUUCGGAUUGUAAAGCACUUUAAGUUGGGAGGAAGGGCAUUAACCUAAUACGUUAGUGUUUUGACGUUACCGACAGAAUAAGCACCGGCUAACUCUGUGCCAGCAGCCGCGGUAAUACAGAGGGUGCAAGCGUUAAUCGGAAUUACUGGGCGUAAAGCGCGCGUAGGUGGUUCGUUAAGUUGGAUGUGAAAUCCCCGGGCUCAACCUGGGAACUGCAUUCAAAACUGUCGAGCUAGAGUAUGGUAGAGGGUGGUGGAAUUUCCUGUGUAGCGGUGAAAUGCGUAGAUAUAGGAAGGAACACCAGUGGCGAAGGCGACCACCUGGACUGAUACUGACACUGAGGUGCGAAAGCGUGGGGAGCAAACAGGAUUAGAUACCCUGGUAGUCCACGCCGUAAACGAUGUCAACUAGCCGUUGGGAGCCUUGAGCUCUUAGUGGCGCAGCUAACGCAUUAAGUUGACCGCCUGGGGAGUACGGCCGCAAGGUUAAAACUCAAAUGAAUUGACGGGGGCCCCGCACAAGCGGUGGAGCAUGUGGUUUUAAUUCGAAGCAACGCGAAAGAAACCUUACCAGGGCCUUGACAUCCAAUGAAACUUUCCAGAGAUGGAUGGGUGCUUCGGGAAACAUUGAGACAGGUGCUGCCAUGGGCUGUCGUUCAGCCUCGUUGUUCGGUGGAAGAAAUUGCUCUGGGGCCAUUAUAUAACAGGAGGCUACUAUUAUCUCUCGCUGGUUGGCUAGUACUAUAC
rnacentral:rRNA from 1 species